AAGGCGGGAAAACGUGAGGGGAAGGGAGGUGAGGAGCUGAAAAAGCUGCAGAAGGCUGCAGCGAUGGACACGGACCCGCGCAGUGAGGGGCUCUGUGGCCGGGACCCCCCGAGACCCCCGUGUGUCCCCGUGUCCCCCCGCCCCAGGGACAGGGGGUCCCAGAGCGUCCCUGAGGGAUAUGUUGUCCCUGUGUCUCGCCCAGUUCCCCCCCCAGAUCCCCCUGGGGGGGUCCCACGCCUCGAGAUGCUGCUGAGACGGAUCCACAGCCUGCAGAGCGCCCGUCAGGCCACGGAGAAGGAGUUGGAGGAGGCACAAGGC